UGGGGAAUUUUGGACAAUGGGCGAAAGCCUGAUCCAGCAAUGCCGCGUGUGUGAAGAAGGCCUUCGGGUUGUAAAGCACUUUUGUCCGGAAAGAAAUCCUCUGGGUUAAUACCUCGGGGGGAUGACGGUACCAGAAGAAUAAGCACCGGCUAACUACGUGCCAGCAGCCGCGGUAAUACGUAGGGUGCAAGCGUUAAUCGGAAUUACUGGGCGUAAAGCGUGCGCAGGCGGUUUUGUAAGACGGAUGUGAAAUCCCCGGGCUUAACCUGGGAACUGCAUUCGUGACUGCAAGGCUAGAGUAUGGCAGAGGGGGGUAGAAUUCCACGUGUAGCAGUGAAAUGCGUAGAGAUGUGGAGGAAUACCGAUGGCGAAGGCAGCCCCCUGGGCCAAUACUGACGCUCAUGCACGAAAGCGUGGGGAGCAAACAGGAUUAGAUACCCUGGUAGUCCACGCCCUAAACGAUGUCAACUAGUUGUUGGGGAUUCAUUUCCUUAGUAACGUAGCUAACGCGUGAAGUUGACCGCCUGGGGAGUACGGUCGCAAGAUUAAAAGCUUAAAUGAAUUGA
rnacentral:rRNA from 1 species